rnacentral:ncRNA from 1 species
CUGGUUGAUCCUGCCAAUAUUCAUAUGCUUGUCUCAAAAAUUAAGUCAUGCAUGUCUCAAUGCAUGCCGAAUUAAAAUGAAAUCGCGAAUGGCUCAUUAAAUCAGUUAUGGUUCAUUAGAUUGUACCCAUUUACUUAAUGGAUGGAACUGUGAUAAUUCUAAAGCUAAUAAUGCAAAAUAGAGUCCCGACCAGCGAGAGAACGGACGUUUUUAUUAGAUCAAAUCGGUGGCAGGUGGUUGUCCCCCGUUUACCGUUUAUUUUGGUGAUUCUGAAUAACUUUGUGCUGAUCGCACGGUCUUAGCAUCGGCGACGCAUCUUUCAAAUGUUUGCCUUAUCAACUGUCGAUGGUAGGUUUUGCGCCUACCAUGUUGUAACGGGUAACGGGGAAUCAGGGUUCGAUUCCGGAGAAGGAGCCUGAGAAACGGCAUCCAAGGAAGGCAGCAGGCCCGCAAAUUACUCACUCCCGGCACGGGGAGGUAGUGACGAAAAAUAACGAUACGGGUCUCAUCUAUGAAUUUAUUCCUUUUUUAUUUCUAAUUUGAAUAAUUUUCAGAUUAUAUAAC